rnacentral:rRNA from 1 species
GACGAACGCUGGCGGCGUGCUUAACACAUGCAAGUCGAGCGGUAAGGCCCUUUCGGGGUACGACGAGCGGCGAACGGGUGAGUAACACGUGGGUGACCUGCCCUCAGCUCUGGGAUAAGCCUGGGAAACCGGGGUCUAAUACUGGAUAUGACUCCAUGACGCAUGUUGUGGGGUGGAAAGCCUUGUGCGGCUGAGGAUGGGCCCGCGGCCUAUCAGCUUGUUGGUGGGGUGAUGGCCUACCAAGGCGACGACGGGUAGCCGGCCUGAGAGGGCGACCGGCCACACUGGGACUGAGACACGGCCCAGACUCCUACGGGAGGGCAGCAGUGGGGAAUCUUGCGCAAUGGGCGAAAGCCUGACGCAGCGACGCCGCGUGAGGGAUGACGGCC